GCACUCCAGCUGUGGUGAAACUACAACUCCCAGCAUGCUCCAUUCAUUUCUGUGGAGUUCUGAGAACAGCUAAGCAAGUGUGCAUCUUGGGAGUCGUAGUAUUACCACAGUUGGCGUGCCGAAGGUUAGCCGUCACAGUAUUGUGGCUCAUGAACACGA